GACGAACGCUGGCGGCGUGCCUAACACAUGCAAGUCGAACGAGAUCCAUGGGAGCUUGCUCCCGGAAGAUCUAGUGGCGAACGGGUGAGUAACACGUGAGAAACCUGCCCUGGAGUGGGGAAUAACUCGGGGAAACUCGAGCUAAUACCGCAUACCCUCGGAUGGUCGCAUGGCCGACCGAGGAAAGAUUUAUCGCUCUAGGAGGGUCUCGCGGCCUAUCAGCUAGUUGGUGGGGUAACGGCCUACCAAGGCAACGACGGGUAGCUGGUUUGAGAGAACGAUCAGCCACACUGGGACUGAGACACGGCCCAGACUCCUACGGGAGGCAGCAGUGGGGAAUCUUGCGCAAUGGGCGAAAGCCUGACGCAGCAACGCCGCGUGCGGGAUGACGG
rnacentral:rRNA from 1 species